GUGGACAUGCAUCUAGAGAUUAGACGUUCCCUUCGGGGACAUGGAUACAGGUGGUGCAUGGUUGUCGUCAGCUCGUGUCGUGAGAUGUUGGGUUAAGUCCCGCAACGAGCGCAACCCUUAUUAUCAGUUGCCAGCAUUAAGUUGGGCACUCUGGUGAGACUGCCGGUGACAAACCGGAGGAAGGUGGGGAUGACGUCAAAUCAUCAUGCCCCUUAUGACCUGGGCUACACACGUGCUACAAUGGAUGGUACAACGAGUUGCGAACUCGCGAGAGUAAGCUAAUCUCUUAAAGCCAUUCUCAGUUCGGAUUGUAGGCUGCAACUCGCCUACAUGAAGUCGGAAUCGCUAGUAAUCGCGGAUCAGCAUGCCGCGGUGAAUACGUUCCCGGGUUGGAA
rnacentral:rRNA from 2 species